UUUUAAGUGGCCGAGUUAGGUGUUAGUUUCUUAAAUUAAGUACGAAGUUAUAAAGU
rnacentral:tRNA from 1 species